ACGUGGUUAUUAUUAUUCCUGUUUUACAGAGAAGGAGACUGAGGCUCAAGACAGCCGAGGGGACUUGCUCAGGGCACCCGGCUAAGACUUGACAAAAUCCAGAAUGUGCUACCGGUCUUCGUGGCUCCUCAGGCCUCCCCUUCACUGUGCUUCACUGUGUAGUCAUCUCGCUUCCUCCAAAUGUGGCCGCACAAUUUGGAGACCACACAAAGAUCAUCAGGGUUCUGCUUGAUAGAAAAUACAGAAUACAGAAGAGGUGAUGAAAGGAUAAAGAUGCUGGUAAUCUUAUCAUUGGGUGGAUGCAGUAUUAACCUCCCCUCUGUUCUGCCACUCCACACCCCAUGCUCUGGGCACCCAGGACAUAAUUCCCUGCUAAAAUAUCCCCAAAUCUAUUUCCAGGGCCUACCUAG
rnacentral:lncRNA from 1 species